rnacentral:misc_RNA from 1 species
GCAAACUUGGUCAUUUAGAGGAAGUAAAAGUCGUAACAAGGUCUCCGUAGGUGAACCUGCGGAGGGAUCAUUAUUGAAUUUGCAGGGUCUUUUGGGCCCUCAAACAAACAAAAACCCGUGGAAGACACAUGUGCUUCGGCGCCCUGUUGGGCGCCGCCUUUCAUGAUUUAAUCUGACCUGCGUCUGACUUGAUAACAUGAAUAUGAAAACUUUCAACAAAGGAUCUCUUGGCUCUCGCAUCGAUGAAGAACGCAGC